GUACUGGGUCCCCCAGCAGUGCUAUCCCACUGGUGCUGCGCUCAAUUUCUCGCUGGGCCUAGCUCAGGGAUUGUAAACGCACCAAUCAGUGCCCUGUCAAAACAGACCACUUGGCUCUACCAAUCAGCAGGAUGUGGGUGGUGCCAGAUAGGAGAAUAAAAGCAGGCUGCCGGAGCCAGCAGUGUCAAUCCGCUCAGGUCCCCUUCCACACUGUGGAAGCUUUGUUCCUUCGCUCUUUGCAAUACAUCUUGCUACUGCUCACUCUUUGGGUCCACACUGCCUUUAUGAGCUGUAACACUCACUGCGAAGGUCUGCAGCUUCACUCCUGAAGCCAGUGAGACCACGAACCCACUGGGAGGAACGAACAACUCCAGACAUGCCGCCUUCAGAGCUGUAACACUCACCGCGAAGGUCCGCAGCUUCACUCCUGAGCCAGUGAGACCACGAACCCACCAGAAGGAAGAAACUCUGAACACAUCCGAACAUCAGAAGGAACAAACUCCAGACGCACCACCUUAAGAGCUGUAACGCUCACCGCAAGGGUCCACGGCUUCAUUCUUGGAGUCAGUGAGACCAAGAACCCACCAAUUCCAGACACACAGCCAUGCACUCUGGUGGGCCAGGAGAGGUGAUAUAGGCAAGUUCUCACUGUCUCAACCAGAGCAGCUCCUGCCUUGUUUGCAAGAAAGGAAAGAAAGGGGCAGAAAAGGACUGCAGGAAAAGCAAGGCACAAUCAAUACGCCAAAGCAUUGCCCCACGAUGCAAAUUCAUGCUGUUUUCUUUUUCCCUAACUCUUCAUGUUGCCAUUUGUGAUACUGUCUAGGAACUGAUGCUCUGAAAUUAACAGGAUGUUAACAUAACUUAUUCAUGCACUGAAUAAACAUUUCUCAGACCCCU
rnacentral:lncRNA from 1 species